GUUCUGGGGAGGAUUAAAUGAGCUCAUGUGAUAUCCAGGUGACUGAGGCAGAGUCGGCUCGGGAUGAAUCUUUGCUUCGUUUUCAUUAGCUGCGGAGAAGACGAUGACAGCUUGGUGCCUCUCCAACUUUAAUAUGGGUUGCAUCCUUUCCUCUCCAACAAUCCUUGGGGUGCUGUUUUCAAUAUGUCCAUGCAGGAAUUCAAAAUAACAAAAAUGUUUUUGAAAAAUAAUGUCGUAGGUUGACAGAGUGAUUUAUAAAUUAUAGCAUACACUUAUGCUCUUAAUUCUUCCUCACAAUCCUGCUUAUCAUGGCUGGAAUUGCUGCUACACCUGUGGGGUCAGCUGGGGGCUGGCUGUAGUCAGGCCGGGGGCCUGACUGGGCCACAUGUCUCUUAUGCCCCAGCUAGUAACUGGGGCUUGUGCUCAUGGGGGUAGCAGGGCUCUGAGAGGGAGAGUAGAAGCAUCGUGGGGCCUAGCUCUGAGCUGGCACACCAUCGUUUCUGCUGCCUUCUAUUGGCCGUGGCAAGUCACCUAACUUCAAGGGAGGGGAAAUUAACUCUGCUUCUUGAUGGGAGAAGUUGGAAUGUCACAUUGCAACGAGUGAGGACACAAGGAGUCAACCUGGAGCCAUUAUUGCAAUUUGGGAUGGCGCUUGGUGCGUUCCUUGAGGAGAUCGUCGAAAACCAUUUUUCAAACAUCACAGGUUCCUAUAAAUCUCCACCUCUGCUUUGGCAGCCCCUAAAAAUUCCCACUCAGUUUUGCUGAGAGGACACUAGGUGACAGUGUUGUCUUUCCAAAUGAGUAGUUCCGUUACCGACAUUACAUUGCUCCCUGUACAUUAUUUAUAAGGUUUCUCUGUUUUUAUGUGCAAAAUAAUUCUAUUUUGAGAAAUACAUUGUACAGGCCUCUUUUUUUUUCUUUCACACACCCUAGACAUGUCAUAGAGGCAGUAAAUGUGUCCAAAUUUUUGAGAAAUUGGAACAAUCAAGACUUACCUGUAUGGAAUACUGUUAAUGAUGUCAAUUCCCGCUACAGUACUUUUCAUCUGAGACACUUAGUGUCUGUUAACAGAUUAAAGGUAGUAAAAGAUG